ensembl:snRNA U2 U2 spliceosomal RNA
AUCACUUCUCGGCCUUUUGGCUAAGAUCAAGUAUAGUAUCUGUUCUUAUCAGUUUAGUAUCUGAUAUGUCCUCUAUCCAAGGACAAUAUAUUAAAUGGAUUUUUGGAGCAGGGACAUGGGCUAGGAGCUUGCUCUGUCCACUCCACGCAUCAACCUGGUAUUGCCGUACCUCUAGGAACAGUGCACCCCUC